rnacentral:tRNA from 1 species
UGGGAUACGGUGGAAUUGGUAGACACGUUAGAUUUAGGCUCUAAUCUGUUUUCAGGUGUCGGUUCGAGUCCGGCUUUCCUUA